CCUACGGGUGGCAGCAGUGAGGAAUAUUGGUCAAUGGCCGGAAGGCUGAACCAGCCAUGCCGCGUGAAGGUCAGUGCCCUAUGGGCGUUAAACUUCUUUUGUGCGGGAGCAAUAAUGGUCACGUGUGGCCAGACGAGAGUACCGUACGAAUAAGCAUCGGCUAACUCCGUGCCAGCAGCCGCGGUAAUACGGGGGAUGCAAGCGUUAUCCGGAUUUAUUGGGUUUAAAGGGUGCGUAGGCUGUGAGGUAAGUCAGCGGUGAAAUGCCCCCGCUCAACGGGGUGAAGUGCCAUUGAUACGGCCUGGCUGGAAUGCGGAUGCCGUGGGAGGAAUGUGGGGUGUAGCGGUGAAAUGCAUAGAUAUCACACAGAACACCGAUUGCGAAGGCAUCUCACGAAUCCGCGAUUGACGCUGAUGCACGAAAGCGUGGGUAUCAAACAGGAUUAGAUACCCUGGUAGU
rnacentral:rRNA from 1 species